rnacentral:lncRNA from 1 species
CCCAUUAAGGUGUGUGAUAAUGUGUCCAAUGUUCUAAAUAGGCAUUGAAGGUAUCAUACAUCUGGUGUCUAUUGGGUAUUGAAAUUAUCAUUCAUCAUAUGAUCACCUUGUUGUGCCCUUCAGAUCAAUGGUCAGAUUGGUCGAGCCACACUCAGACCUGGACAUUCAUUUGUUGGAUGCAUUUGGUGUCGUCAUGUUAAUGAUUGGAUCUAACUAGAAUUUUCAGUGGAGGCGUCAUACUCUUGCUGAAGAGAUGCUUGGGGCAAAACUUAAUUGCU